GGCACUAUGGCCGAGUGGUUAAGGCGACAGAUUUGAAUUCUUCACUAUCUGUUGGUAUAUUACCGCGCAGGUUCGAACCCUGCUGGUGUCG